CCCAGCUCGUCAUGCUAGAGCACUUUUUCAAUGUGCUCCACAACGAGAAGGCGACGACGCAUUCGUAUGUCAAUCCAUAUCAACUUUCGAUGCCAUUGGUGACCACGGGUAAUGGGGAAUUAGGGUUUGAUUCCGUAUAGGGACCCUAAUAAACGGCUACCACAUGCAGGGAAGGCAGCAGGCGCGCAAAUGACCCACUCCCGACGCGGGAAGGUAGUGACG